rnacentral:rRNA from 1 species
CCCGAAGGCGAUGGCUGUGCUUGCUUGUCUUGCGCUUUCACUGCUCUGACGGAUGCUUUUAUUAGACCAAGCCGCUGAGGACUUGAGGGUUCGCUCUCUUGUCUGACUCGUGUAAUGGUGAUUCUGGAUAACCUUCUGACAAGCGCACGUACUUCUCUUCUGAGCGAGACGGCGCUGCCACUUUCGAGUGUCUGCCUUAUCAGCUAUCAACCGUUCGUUAUGCGCGACCGAUGGCUUUGACGGGUAACGGGGAAUCAGGGUUCGAUUCCGGAGAGGCAGCCUGAGAGACGGCUACCACGUCCAAGGACGGCAGCAGGCACGCAAAUUACCCAAUCCCAGCAAAUGGGGGAGGUAGUGACGAAAUCUAACGAUGCGGGCGCCCUUUCUGGGGCCCCGCAAUCGGAAUGGGCACUUUCUAAACAACCUGUUGAGAACCUACUGAAGGGCAAGUCUGGUGCCAGCAGCCGCGGUAAUUCCAGCUUCAGCAGCAUCUAUUAAAGUUGCUGCGGUUAAAAGGCUCGCAGUUGAAUGUCUGUAUCGAGCGCAGGUCAGGUGGACGUUGGGGCGUGGAAGUACGGGUGGUUGGAUGUUCGGAGGGCCUUCGUGCUCAACGGCUCCUUCUGCUUUUCCACACACCCCCGUCCGUGACAAGCCUCCUCGCUCGGGUACAUAACGGGAAUCGGUCAAACGGAGUGUGGUCGGAGGUCGAGGUGCGUGGCUUCGGUUGCGUGUUUCUUCUUUCGGCUGCGUUAAGCUCCAUCGGUUUCACGGUCACCUUGAGUAAAUCAGAGUGCUCAAAGCAGUCGUAGGGGCCUUGCGCCCUGUGAACAGUCUUGACGGACUGACUUGGUUUUGCAUGGCAUGUCGGAAGACGACGUCGUGUGCUGGCUCAGAGGAUAAAUCAGUGGUACAAGCCAGCCUCGACGUAAUGAUUAAAAGGGACGGUCGAGGGCAUUGGUAUUGCGAGGCGAGAGGUGAAAUUCUGUGACCCCCGCAAGACCUCCUGAAGCGAAAGCGUCUGCCAAGGACGUUUUCAUUAAUCAUGAACGAAAGUUAGAGGAUCGAAGGCGAUCAGAUACCGCCCUAGUUCUAACCCUAAACGAUGCCAACCAUCAAUCCGCGCGUAGCACCCUUCUUAACGGGCUCGGCGGGCAGCUCCCCACUCACGGGAAACCAGAGCCUCUGGGUUCCGGGGGGAGUCUGGUUGCAAAGCUGAAACUUAAAGGAAUUGACGGAAAGGCACCACCAGGCGUGGAGCCUGCGGCUUAAUUUGACUCAACACGGGCCAUCUCACCAGGCCAGCACUCUUGUACGAUUGACAGAUUGAGAGCUCUUUCUCGAUUCA